GGCACGCCGGGAUGCAGCGAGGCGCUUCCGCCUCGCUGCAUCCCGGCGUACCCCG
ensembl:miRNA gga-mir-12288 gga-mir-12288